rnacentral:sRNA from 1 species
GCUAGGCAUGAUGGCUCAUGCCUGUAAUCCCAGUGACUGGAGAGGUUGAGGCAGGAGGACUGAGAGUUUGAAGCUAGUCUUAGCAACUAAGCAAAGUCCUGAGCAACUUAGUGAGACCCUGUCUCAA